rnacentral:misc_RNA from 1 species
UUUCCGUAGGUGAACCUGCGGAAGGAUCAUUGAAAACAACGCGAAAAGGCGGCCGGGCGCGGCAUGUGUGGGGCUGUGAAAUGCACGGCACCAUUACACCGCGCCCUGUCGCUGCGUUCGGGGGGCCGCCCCUCGGGGCCGGCCCUGUCUGCACCCUCUGCCAUUGUCGCACCUCGCGUUUCCUCGGCGGGCCCGCCCGCCAACGGGGACCCCAAACCAAACCCACUUGCAGUGCCUGCAGUAAACGUCUCACAAAAGAAAUAAAUCAAAACUUUCAACAACGGAUCUCUUGGUUCUGGCAUCGAUGAAGAACGCAGC